rnacentral:rRNA from 1 species
UACGUAGGGGGCAAGCGUUGUCCGGAAUUAUUGGGCGUAAAGAGCACGUAGGCGGUAAUAUAAGUUGGAUGUGAAAGGCUACGGCUCAACCGUAGAGCUGCAUCCAAAACUGUAUCACUUGAGUGCAGAAGAGGAGAGUGGAAUUCCCGGUGUAGCGGUGGAAUGCGUAGAUAUCGGGAGGAACACCAGUGGCGAAGGCGACUCUCUGGUCUGUAACUGACGCUGAGGUGCGAAAGUGUGGGGAGCGAACAGG